UACGUAGGGUGCGAGCGUUGCCCGGAUUUAUUGGGCGUAAAGGGCGCGUAGGCGGUGAGAUGCGUCCGUUGUGAAAUCGCCCGGCUCAACUGGGCGGGGUCAGCGGAUACGGUCUCACUUGAGCAAGCUAGGGGGCAAUGGAAUUCCCGGUGUAGUGGUGGAAUGCGUAGAUAUCAGGAAGAACACCAAUGGCGAAAGCAGCUUUCUGGGACGGUACUGACGCUGAGACGCGAAAGCGUGGGGAGCGAACAGG
rnacentral:rRNA from 1 species